GCCGGAGUGGCCGAGCGGUUAAAGGCGCUGUAGUCUGGAACACUGUGGUCGCAGGUUCGAAUCCUGCCUCGGGCA